GACGAACGCUGGCGGCGUGCUUAACACAUGCAAGUCGAGCGGAGCGGCGAACGGGUGAGUAACGCGUGAGUAACUGCCCCCCUCUCUGGGAUAACAGUUGGAAACUGCUGCUAAUACCGGAUAGUGGGGGAUGACUCGCGUCCUAUCAGCUUGUUGGUGGGGUAGUGGCCUACCAAGGCGACGACGGGGAGCCGGCCUGAGAGGGCGACCGGCCACAUUGGGCUGAGAUACGCCGCAAAAAGUUACGAGAGGCAGCAGGGGCGAAUAGUGCACAAGGGGGGAAACAAUGAUGCAGAAAGGCGGGGGCGGGAUGACGGUAGGCGGGUGGUAAACCGAUUUCAGCAAUGACGCGGUAGUGGCAGAAGAAGCACCGGCCAACAAAGUGCGAGCAGCGGCGGUAAUUA
rnacentral:rRNA from 1 species